rnacentral:lncRNA from 1 species
GACACUGGGACGAGGAAACUGAGCUCCGGGCACAGCUCAGCCCGUGGGAAUUGCCCAACUGGGCUGUCGCAAUGGGCUAGGAGGCCAGGGUCGGCCCUGCCGCUGGCUGCCAGGACCAGGCCUCCUGGCCACCCUAAGCGCCUAGAAUCUGGGGACAAUAGCGGCCAAGCAGUUAACAUCUGCUCUGCGAUGGCGGUAAAAAGGAAAGCAAAAUUUCGAUCUAUUUUUCUGGGAAGAGAGUAAGAGAUUUGGGCUGUCCCGGCAGGACCCGAGCUUUGCAACACACCGGUGUUCCUUUAAGUCCAAAAGAGGGCCGAGAAACCAGCUGGCCCACAGUUCACAGAACAUCCCAGCAGGAACCCGUACCCCUGUGGAGACUGCUGAGAAACUGGAGCCUAUCCAGGCCACGGCCACGGCCGGGGAUCAGCCCCAACCUACGGAGCCCAUUAACAGUCGCUACCUGGUAAUUUCUAAAGCACCCGCUGGGUGGGUGCGUGGUCCACGGGGGGCCACAAAAGCCAAGGACACAAGUUCACUGCCUGCAAGGAGCUUGCCCGUGGGAGAUAAAGCUGGUAACGGGCUCGACACCCAGGCAGCCCUUCCGGGAGGCGGAGAUGGGCUCCAGAAAUGAACAGGAUUCAGAGGCUGCAUCCAAGGACGGAGAGACCAAAGUCCUGGUUGCACCAUUUGGCAGCGUGUCGCCUGACCUCCAGGAGCCUGGGUGUCUUUGUCUUUUAAAUGGGAUUCACAGAGACCCUACCUCUUAGGGUUAGCGUGAGGGCAGAGGGAAAUAAGGUAUAUACAGAGAUUGCCGGCCAGCAGCCAGUGCUUCAGACACACUAUCGAGAAGGAGCUUCAGGGGAGUUCCCGUGGUGGCUCAGCAAUAAUGAACUUGGCUAAUAUCCCUAAGGACGAGCGUUCAAUCCUUGGCCUUGCUCAGGGGGUUAAAGAUCUGGUGUUGCUGUGAGUUGUGGUGUGGGUCACAGACAUGGCUUGGAUCCUGUGUUGCUGUAGCUGUGGUGUAGGCUGGACGCCGUAGAUCUGAUUCGACCCCUAGCCUGGGAACUUCCAUAUGCCUUGGGCGUGACCCUAAAAAGGAAAAAAAAAAAAAAAAAAAGGAAAUUCAGGAAAACAACAUGAAUGAACCUCAAAGACAUGACCCCAGUUGAAAGAGGGCAGGUGUGCAAAGUGGCACACGGAAUGGUUCUUUUCCUAGGAAGUGGCCAGAGCGUUAAGUAAAUCCCUAGAGAUGAGAAGCAGAUUAGUGGUUGCCAAGGGCCGGGGGAGGGGAAAGGGGUGUCUUUUUGGGGUGAUGACAAUAUGUUGGAACUAGAUAGGGGGUGAUUGCAUGGGAAUAGGUGAAAGGUCACGGGACAGUGCAUUUUAAAACGGUGCAUUUCGGAAUUCCCUGGUGGCCUAGCGAUUAAAAGAGGCAGAGUCCUUCAAUCCCCAGCCUGAGGUCGAGGCCAAAAACAUUAAAAUGAAAUCAAAUGGUUCAUUUUUUGGUAUGUGAAUGUCACCUCAAUUAAAAAAAUGUCUUGAAGGAAAUUUGUUUGCACAAACCUAGUGAAUGGGACACUCGCCAGGGCCAGACCCCAGACACUCUGCCUCCUGUCACCCUCCAGCCUGGGCUGAGUGAGCUGGGUCACCCUCUGUCCAGGCCUGGACACCCUCAGCCUGGCCGGUGGGGCCUAGCGGAGCCCAGACAUGGGGGCAGGGUGGGGGGCUGCCCCACACAGUUCGGGGAGAGGCCAGUGUCCCCAGGCUGCUGGGAGGACCAAGUUACAUCAGAGGUCGUGUGCGAGAUGCGUUACAAAGAGAGAGGGAUGAGCUCCAGGUGCACUGGCUGCACCUGCCAUGGAGCACCUGCCGUGGCGGGACGAGGGGAGCACGAGGGGAUGUGCGCAGCCAGGGAGCCCACAGGGGUCAAGGCAGAGUCCCCGCCUGGCCCAGACCCGGGGACAGUCAGCUCCUCUGCCCACCCCCACCCCCCUCCCUCUCCUGGCCUCCCUGGCUCCCCCUCAGAGUCCCAUCCUAAUCCUGCCAGGAGAGGGAGCCCAGGGCAGUGGGUCUCCGUCCUGUGUCCCCCCUGCAGGCAGCCAGGCCAGAGAGAGAGCUGUCCAGCCCGCAGCCACGGAGGAGGCGCCCGCCACCCAGCUGACAUGGGGGCGGGUCUCAGGCUUUCCCCACUGGGCCACCACUGCCAGGGCAGCCUCCUGGGCUUUGGGCCACCAGGCGGAAAGGAUAAAAAGAGGCCACAUGCCUCCUGCCACGUGGAGGCAUCCACGCACCAGGGGCAACACUGUCACACAGAACUCGGGUGCCAGAGGACCACGUGGGCAUUCAGCAGGGCGAGUUGGCAGGACCGACACCACUGCCUGUUGGGAUCCCAGGACUCGGGGAGGCCAUGCUGCCGAGGGUGCCCUAGCCGGCCCGGCCCAGGCUGGGAGCCACCAGUAUGAGACGCCACUUGACUGGCAAGAAACUCACCUUCCGAGGAACCUGCCAGUCUUCAAACUCAUAAAUGCCCUCCAGAGUUAGUGACCCCUGAACUACGGGCAGAUGUUAAGUGCCCAUAACCCUUUCCGGCUGGUGAUAACCCCGCGGCACUCUUGGCUUUUCUUGCGAUGGGUUUGCUGUUUUCUCCAAGGAGUGGGUUUCAUCAGAUCCGGGUGCCCAAGACCGUGGCAAGGACCCAGCCACGGAAGGAGGGGCUGGACGGCGGCUCACAGUCCCCUUGUGCAGCUCCAGCGCGGGGCAAAAUCCCGCACAGGCCUGCGGUGAGGCCUCGCAAACAAGCAGCAGCAUGAUCCUGCCGGCCAGCUCAGCCCCCAGCCUUGGCCCAGAGCGGCUCUGGCCGCCCCGCCUCUGGCUCCCCUCCUGCAGCCCAUGCCGACCGCCCGCCACCAGAGGCCUUGCCAGCCGCCGAGGCAGCCCCUUGCGUCCCGUCCCCAGAGCCCUCAGCAGCCCUGAAGUCAUUCUGCUCCAGGAUCUGCUCCGUGUUUAUGUCCUGCCUCGGUCUCCGGGGGGCCUGACGUGCUCCCUGCAGCUUGUCCCCAGCACCCAGCCCCCGCGGGAACAAGGACCCGAGACGGAAACGGCAAAAGCGCUGUGAGCAAGACACCUGCCCGCGGAUCCCAGCCCCGCUGCCAGCUAUCUUUCUCCAUCGCUUGGCCGGCCCGAGGAUCUCAAGAAUGGAAAGGGGUUUAGGGGGUCUGGAGACCACCCCACCACCCAAGAAAGGAGCCCGAGGUUAACUCCCACGUUCUCAGGAGAGCCGCCGACGUGUUGAUGCAAGCGCCAAAUAAUCGAAUUGCAGGUGGGGGUGGGGAGGAGAUAAUUGAAUAUCAGCGAGGGGCUGUUGUCAGGUCAGCCAGUUCCUGGCGUGUUCUCGUAUGUAUGUUUUCUGAGAGAGCCCCCAAAUAAAACAGUUCUAUUAUUUUAUGCCACAAAA